AUGUCAUCUUCGGGCUAUGUGGUUGUUCCUCGCUGCUCGGUGAUCUUCGAUGGCACCAACUAUGCUGAGUUUGUGUGCUUCAUGCGCAUUCAUAUGCGUGGACUUCUUUUGUGGGGUGUUCUGUCUAGCGAGGUCCCUCGUCCGCCAUGUCCUGCUGCGCCCGUGGCCCCAAUUUCACCCGUGCCGCCAGUCCUUGCUGCUGAUGCUUCUCAGGCUGAUCGGGAUGCCGCCAAGGCCCUAGAUGAUGCUGCGGUUGAUGCUUAUGAUCAGCAGGUAUCCGCUUAUUCAGAUGCUUUUUCUGUGUACCGUGAUGACCUGUCUGCUUACACUCAGUGGUGCAAUGAUGAUGCCCGUGCUGCUGCUGUUCUCGCUGCGAGUGUCCUCCCUCAGUUUGCUUCAGAGUCCAUGGGACUUGGCAUAGUUGCAGUGAUGUGGUCUUACCUCUGUCAGCGCUAUCAGCCCUCUGGUGAUGCUCUCUACCUCUCUGUGGUGCGUUAG
rnacentral:rRNA from 1 species